UUACGGUCAAAUCACGCUGAAACACCGGUUCUCGCUCGAUCACCGAAGUUAAGCAUCGUAGAGCCAGGUCAGUACUUAGAUGGGGGACCGCUUGGGAACACCUGGUACUGUAAG
rnacentral:rRNA from 1 species